UACAGAGGUUUCGAGCGUUAGGCGGAAUCACUGGGCUUAAAGCGUGUGUAGGCGGAUCGGUAAGUACCUUGUGAAAUCCCACAGCUUAACUGUGGAACUGCUUGGUAUACUGCCAGUCUUGAGCCAGCUAGGGGCUACCGGAACAAAUGGUGGAGCGGUGAAAUGCGUAGAUAUCAUUUGGAACGCCAAAGGUGAAAACAGGUAGCUGGGGCUGUGCUGACGCUGAGACACGAAAGCCAGGGGAGCAAACAGG
rnacentral:rRNA from 1 species